GUCCUCCUAAGCCCGGUCUCUUGUAUUUCAUCCCACGCCACCUCUAUCCUGCGGGACCCUUGGGAGCGGGCCUCCACAAUUGGCGCCUGGAACAGGGACUGAAGGUGGGCUUCGUGAGGACCCCGGAGUCACAGUCGGCCGAGUCAAUCAAUCAAUCAAUCAAUCAAUCAAGUAAUAAGGUUUGUCUGCUGCAGAUCGACAAUGGACCAUCGGGCUGUCUUAGUAAGAUGGAAAGAUCCUAACACUAUAGAGUUGCUAACUUGGGGAAGAGGGUAUGCUUGUGUUUAAGUUCCAGAUGCAGACCCCAAUGACCAAGUUUUCGAUCGGAUCUCUGAGGAAGAGGCAGGACACGCUCCAGCGGAGGCGUCAUUGGCAGACCCUUCAGACGGAGAUGGCCCCUCCUCACCUGGGGCUCUUUGAAGAGGCUGGAUGCGGAAGCCCAAGCAUUCACUCGGAACUCUUCCUAGGGAUUGAUUUUGGCUUUGAUCGCCUUGACUGGACUUUUGCCAGUGACUUUGGCUGAGGUUCACUGGACUCAUAUGAUUAAUCCACCAACCUUCACUCUGCAGACUUGGACUAAUCCUGAAUUCCUUUAACUACCAACGACUCGGACUAUACUCAAGGGACUUGGGUGAGGCCUAAUGGACAUUUGGGGCACUCUCAUUUUCAAGCAUUGUUUAACCAAACCGUCACCGGGAAUGUACCCACUGUUCCUCUGUAUAUUCCUUAAUAGCUUUUAUUAUGUCUACUAUGGUAAUUAUCUCUUCUGCUAUGACAUCAGGAUUUGCUUUAAAAACCUCUAUCCUUACAGCCCAACAAGUAGAUAGUAGGUUACACAACUUGACCUCUAACUAGGAAACGGGGCAAGUUUAUAUUAGUAGCUAGAGCAAUGGGGCAAAGUUGAUUAAUAAGUACCUUAGUAAUGGGGCAUUAUUGAUUAAUUAUAGUUUUAUAUAAUUCACUUAUGUUUUAGUAACUGCACUUAGCAACAAUGAUUGAUUGUAUAACUUUGAAAUUGCAUGAGGAAAAUCAGGCUAUGAGUGCAAAGGGACCUGAGCUUCCGCCUACAGAGGUAGCAACUAAGAUUUUUAAUGAGAUUGAAAGUUAGUUUUCUUCUACCCGGUGGACUUCGUUAUUAGGUUCUGGGAUUAUGAUACUUAUAUGCAUAACCAUUCUGCUUUGUCUACUUCCAGUCUACAUCCAAGCCAUUGGAGGAAUCCUCCUAUCCUUGCAAACCGCUGUACAGGAACUGCGCCUAAAGCACAAAGAAGGGGGAGAUGUAAGAGACAGUGAGGGUCCAGGAAAGGCCUGACCCCACUCCAAGUCAUGUAAAGGACAUGAACUUGGCUUACACCCCAGUUCUUGUGAUCUAGGCAAGCAGACAUUUGUCAUAGCAACUGAUUGUCAUAGUAACUGUCAAACAUAGAUGGAUCUAGACAAAGCUUGCCCAGUCUUGCCCAGCCUGUAACGAUCUGCUACUUCCCUAUAACAGGCCAAGCCCUAGUAGUGAUUUAUGAAGCAUGACUAGCUACAGCUUAGCUAUAAAACAGUGUGUGCAAAAAAUAAAGUUGCUGGUGCAUUGUGCCAGUCCUCCUAA